UCACGUUUGCGGCAAGCGAAAGUAUUAUUUCAUUUUUAUUUUUUCAUUUAAAAUUUUGUUAUUUACAUUUAACAUUGUGUGAUUCACUUGACAUUGAUAUUGGUCGACCGAUUUCAUAAGUCCAAUCACGUGUAGUGCUGUGGGACAAAACAAGUGAAAAGUACAAAAAUAAAUUUAAAACACUGGAAGCGUGGAAAGCUGUUUGUACGGAAACCAUGGACGGCUAUGAAGAUUUUAACGACUCUAAAAAAAAAAAUGAUAUCGAAAAAAAUAUUGAAAAUCAUCAAAUUUAAAAUGGAAUCUACCAAUUCAGAAAAUAAUUAUGUAUAAGAUGAACUACUAACAGUACAUGAUAAAACUCAAAAAAGAUAAACGUCUGAUUCUUCAGAUAACGAUAAUACUACUACAACCAAUUCCAAUAGGGUACACACCAAUCAAACUAACAACCCUCCCCAAGUAAAAGCAGAAUCAAACAUUAACACUCUACAUCAUGAUUUACUCAGUGAUUAUCCUGUUUAUUCAACAUCCAAAAAGAACGCUGUUCCGCGGAAAUUAAGAUAUAUUCUCAAUCACUUUUCAUUUUCAAGAUGUGAAAUUUACAAUUUAUUAAACGAUUGUCUAGAAAUAUCACAGGACGUUUUCUCUAGAAUUUCACACAAGUUAUUGGCCUUUCAGCAAUUUUUUCUUGGUCAAUGUUAUACCUUUAUUCGACGCAAACAACAGGAUAAUGUUGUAAACUAAGUGUUCUUAGCGUGGCAACUUAAUUACUGCACUCCGAUGUGGCGUGAUGAUAGAUUCAAUCUAUCAUGCAGGGUAACUUUUUGUUUAUUGAUGAAAUCAUGUUUCACAGCACUAAAAGAGCUGAGAGAGGACGGCCACGGCACUUAUAACUUAGAAAAAUAUCUACGAUAUAUAUUGAGUAUGAAGUUAAUGUGCAAUGAUGGAUUUUUAAGGAACAUAAGUGAAGUUUAAUUAUUUUCUC